rnacentral:rRNA from 1 species
UAUUAUUUAAAUGUAAUUAUAAACACUAAAGUAGUAAUAGUUAUGUUCUUGAAACUUAAAAAAUUUGGCGGUAUUUUAGUCUAUCCAGAGGAACCUGUUUUGUAAUCGAUAAUCCACGAUGGACCUUACUUAAAUUUGUAAUCAGUUUAUAUACCGUCGUUAUCAGAAUAUUUUAUAAGAAUAAUAAUAUUCAAUAAUUUUUAUUAAAAUUUAUAUCAGAUCAAGGUGUAGCUUAUAUUUAAGUAAUAAUGGGUUACAAUAAAUUUAUUUAUACGGAUAAAAUCAUGAAAAAAUUUUUGAAGGUGGAUUUGGUAGUAAAAUUAUAAAGAUUAAUAAUUUGAUUUUAGCUCUAAAAUAUGUACACAUCGCCCGUCGCUCUUAUUAUUAAGGUAAGAUAAGUCGUAACAUAGUAGAUGUACUGGAAAGUGUAUCUAGAAUGA